rnacentral:rRNA from 1 species
UACGUAGGGUGCAAGCGUUGUCCGGAAUUAUUGGGCGUAAAGAGCUCGUAGGCGGUUUGUCGCGUCUGCUGUGAAAACUCGGGGCUUAACUCCGGGCCUGCAGUGGGUACGGGCAGACUAGAGUGCGGUAGGGGAGACUGGAAUUCCUGGUGUAGCGGUGAAAUGCGCAGAUAUCAGGAGGAACACCGGUGGCGAAGGCGGGUCGCUGGGACGUAACUGACGCUGAGGCGCGAAAGCGUGGGGAGCGAACAGG